rnacentral:rRNA from 1 species
GUACCGUGAGGGAAAGGUGAAAAGAACCCCGGAAGGGGAGUGAAAUAGAAUACUGAAACCGUGUGCUUACAAAAAGUUCGAGCCCGUUAAUGGGUGAGAGCGUGCCUUUUGCAGAAUGAACCGGCGAGUUAUGGUAUCGUGCAAGGUUAAGCGGAAAACGUGGAGCCGAAGCGAAAGCGAGUCUUAAUAGGGCGCGAGUACGAUGCUAUAGACCCGAAACCAAGCGAUCUAUUCAUGAGCAGGUUGAAGUAAGGGUGAAACCUUAUGGAGGACCGAACCAACUUCUGAUGCAAUAGGAGUGGAUGACUUGUGAAUAGCGGAGAAAUUCCAGUCGAGCUUGGAAAUAGCUGGUUCUCCCCGAAAUAGGUUUAGGCCUAGCCUUCUAAUUAGCUACCUGGAGGUAAAGCACUGAAUAUGGAAGGGCCACGUCUAGUGGUACUAACUGUAAUCAAACUCUGAAUGCCAGGCAAGUAUGUAGAGGAGUCAGUGUAUGGGUGAUAACGUCCAUACGCGAAAGGAAAUGAAUCCAGACCAUCAGUUAAGGUCCCAAAGUUUAUGCUAAGUGGAAAACGAUGUGGAGCUGCUAGAACAGCUAGGAGGUUGGCUCAGAAGCAGCCACCCUUUAAAGAGUGCGUAAUAGCUCACUAGUCGAGUGGCUCUGCGCGGAAUAUGUACCGGGGCUAAGCAUAACACCGAAACUGUGGAUUCGUAAUUUAUUACGAAUGGUAGGGGAGCGUUCUAUGGGCGCUGAAGGUAGACCGUGAGGACUAUUGGAGCGCAUAGAAGUGAGAAUGCCGGUGUGAGUAACGUAAGGAGGGUGAGAAUCCCUCCCACCGAUCGACUAAGGUUUCCUGGGUAAAGUUCGUCUCCCCAGGGUAAGUCGGGACCUAAGGCGAGGCCGAAAGGCGUAGUCGAUGGACAACAGGUUUAUAUUCCUGUACCACCUAUAUAACUGAUGGAGUGACGGAGAAGGCUAAGCAGGGCCAGUUAUUGGAUUCUGGUCUAAGCACAAAGGUAGAUGAAAUAAGAAAAUCUGUUCAUUGUUAUGCUGAAGUGUGAUGGCGACGAAUUCCACGGAAUUCUAAGUCUGCUGACGCCAUGCUUCCAAGAAAAACUUCUAAAGAUAUUAUAUAGGUGCCCGUACCAAGAACCGACACAGGUGGUCAAGGAGAGAAUCCUAAGGUGAGCGAGAUAACUAUGGUUAAGGAACUCGGCAAAAUAACCCCGUAACUUCGGGAGAAGGGGAGGUUUCUUCGGAAACCCGCAGGAAAUAGGUCCAGGCAACUGUUUAGCAAAAACACAGGUCUCUGCUAAAGCGUAAGCUGAUGUAUAGGGGCUGACGCCUGCCCAGUGCUGGAAGGUUAAGAGGAGAUGUUAGUUGGACGUAAGUCAAAUACAGCGAAGCUUCGAAUUGAAGCCCCAGUGAACGGCGGCCGUAACUAUAACGGUCCUAAGGUAGCGAAAUUCCUUGUCAGGUAAGUUC